AACGAACGCUGGCGGCAGGCCUAACACAUGCAAGUCGAGCGAGAUCUUCGGGUCUAGCGGCGGACGGGUGAGUAACGCGUGGGAAUAUGCCUCUUGGUACGGAAUAGCCUCGGGAAACUGGGAGUAAUACCGUAUGUGCCCUUUGGGGGAAAGAUUUAUCGCCAAGAGAUUAGCCCGCGUUGGAUUAGGUAGUUGGUGGGGUAAUGGCCUACCAAGCCGACGAUCCAUAGCUGGUUUGAGAGGAUGAUCAGCCACACUGGGACUGAGACACGGCCCAGACUCCUACGGGAGGCAGCAGUGGGGAAUCUUAGACAAUGGGGGCAACCCUGAUCUAGCCAUGCCGCGUGAGUGAUGAAGGCCUUAGGGUUGUAAAGCUCUUUCAGCUGGAAAGAUAAUGACGGUACCAGCAGAAGAAGCCCCGGCUAACUCCGUG
rnacentral:rRNA from 1 species